CAGUAGCCGCGGUAACACGAGGGGGGCAAGCGUUGUUCGGAAUUAUUGGGCGUAAAGGGUGCGUAGGCGGUUUGGCAAGUUUGGUGUGAAAUCUUCGGGCUCAACUCGAAGUCUGCAUCGAAAACUGCCGGGCUUGAGUAUGGGAGAGGUGAGUGGAAUUUCCGGUGUAGCGGUGAAAUGCGUAGAUAUCGGAAGGAACACCUGUGGCGAAAGCGGCUCACUGGACCAUAACUGACGCUGAUGCACGAAAGCUAGGGGAGCAAACAGGAUUAGAGACCCGUGUAGUCCCUGUCUCUUAUAC
rnacentral:rRNA from 1 species